rnacentral:rRNA from 1 species
GACGUAGGGUGCGAGCGUUGUCCGGAUUUAUUGGGCGUAAAGAGCGUGUAGGCGGCCAGGUAGGUCAGCUGUGAAAACUCGAGGCUCAACCUCGAGAUGUCGGCUGAAACCAUCUGGCUAGAGUCCGGAAGAGGAGAAUGGAAUUCCCGGUGUAGCGGUGAAAUGCGCAGAUAUCGGGAAGAACACCCGUGGCGAAGGCGGUUCUCUGGGACGGUACUGACGCUGAGACGCGAAAGCUAGGGGAGCGAACAGG